AUUUCUGCCUUGUUUUAGCAUAAACAUUGUAAACGAGUAGUUACUAUUUUGUAUGACGCACUUUUACUGUGAUUACACUUUAAUGACAGCAAGGAAAUUAAAGUUAAUUGUCAUGUCUGGUGCUGAAAGCGCUCCUAUGUCUCCCACACCCAGCUCUAUCUGCGAUUUCUAAGAUUCCAACUACAAUACCCAGAACGCACCACACCAUGACAUCACGCUCACUCCCGAUCACAUGACACAUCACAUGACGCCACCAGGAAGCCCCGAGUACUGAUUAUCCACAGUAUUUAAGGACCAUGCUCACGCUCACACCUGGCCGAGUAUCUGUUUGGUUUAUCAUUAAUCAUUAAAUUGUAUUUACUAAGCAAAUAUUUACUAACAUUCCUUUAUAAUUAAGCUACUUUAUCAUGUUAUUAUACUUUAUAUUAGGUAGUUUUAUUUUAUGUUUUAAUGCCUUUAUUUAAUAUUUCCCCUAGAACAAUCACAUUCAAAACAUUUGGAAAUGAGCAGGAAAUUGAAGAUUUCUUUAGAAGAUAUUUCCAAGCAGAUUCAGUUGAUUCAGAGCUCAUCAAGACAGCAUAGAAAAUGUGAAUCUCCACUGAAAGAUCAUGGCUUUUGGGCAGGGCUGUGCACAGUCCUAGGAGUACCCAAUACAUCAACAAAUAGGUACAGACUAAGAAGAGAACACUUCAGCCACUGUAAGGAUUCAGUUACAGGAGAAGCUGUGAAGAAUGUGAGAGAUGUGCAGGAGGUAAAAGAUGCGCAAAAGGUGGAAGACAUCCAGGAAGAGGAGGAUGUGCAGCAGAAUACUGAUAUGCAGGAGGUGGAAGAUGUACAUGUGGUAAAAGAUGUGCCAGAGAAAGAAAAUGUGGAGAAAGUGGUACAUGUACAGAAGGGAAAAGGCAGAUGGAAGAUGAUAAUGUACAGGAGGUGGAAGACAUCCAAGUGGGGAAAGAUGGGCAGGAGAAGGAGGAUGUGCAGGAGGAGGAGGAUGGGCAGGAGGAGGAUGUCAGUGAUGACAGUAAGCAGGAAUUCUUUACCCAGCAUCUUCCAUUACCUCCAACAUUCUUUUUCAUUCCACAUUCAGCUUGGAGAAAUCUACGAAAAAAUCAAAGAAAGAAUCACUUUAAGGGAUUGCAAUGGACAAAUAUUUUUGCAAAAGGCAUUCAAUCUGUACACCCAUGUUGCAGUUUUGCACUACUAGGCCACAGAGUUAAAGUCAUUGGAUCAAAAAGGAACGCACCCCUUUUUAAAUGCUCGGGGUAUUGUACAUUCAGUGACUGCCCAGUUGAAGUAGAUGUUGUUGUGUACAGUGAAGCUACACCUAAAGCACAUGUGUUCUUCAGAGGGGAAAUAGUGGUGCACAGCAAAACUCAUGCAGCUUUGCCAACAAGCUGUCGGCGCUCAGAGGGAGCAAAAUUGGCCUUGCUCCCUCCAGGUGGGUAGACGGGGCUCUCUUCCCACAUCACUCCUAGGGUGAUAUCUGCAGCACAGGGCGUCUGUGAGCUGAUGUAUCAGAACCGAGUCGUUGCGCUUUCCU
rnacentral:lncRNA from 1 species